rnacentral:rRNA from 1 species
UAGCGUUAUUCGGAAUUACUGGGCGUAAAGCGCACGUAGGCGGCUUUGUAAGUUAGAGGUGAAAGCCUGGAGCUCAACUCCAGAAUUGCCUUUAAGACUGCAUCGCUUGAAUCCAGGAGAGGUGAGUGGAAUUCCGAGUGUAGAGGUGAAAUUCGUAGAUAUUCGGAAGAACACCAGUGGCGAAGGCGGCUCACUGGACUGGUAUUGACGCUGAGGUGCGAAAGCGUGGGGAGCAAACAGG